UACCAGCACCCCGAGUGGUCGGGACGUUUAUUGGGCCUAAAGCAUCCGUAGCCGGUUCUACAAGUCUUCCGUUAAAUCCACCUGCUUAACAGAUGGGCUGCGGAAGAUACUAUAGAGCUAGGAGGCGGGAGAGGCAAGCGGUACUCGAUGGGUAGGGGUAAAAUCCGUUGAUCCAUUGAAGACCACCAGUGGCGAAGGCGGCUUGCCAGAACGCGCUCGACGGUGAGGGAUGAAAGCUGGCGGAGCAAACCGG
rnacentral:rRNA from 1 species